UACGGGGGGGGCAAGCGUUGUUCGGAAUUACUGGGCGUAAAGGGCUCGUAGGCGGCCAACUAAGUCAGACGUGAAAUCCCUCGGCUUAACCGGGGAACUGCAUCUGAUACUGGAUGGCUUGAGUUCGGGAGAGGGAUGCGGAAUUCCAGGUGUAGCGGUGAAAUGCGUAGAUAUCUGGAGGAACACCGGUGGCGAAGGCGGCAUCCUGGACCGACACUGACGCUGAGGAGCGAAAGCCAGGGAGCAAACGGGG
rnacentral:rRNA from 1 species